UACGAAGGGUGCAAGCGUUAAUCGGAAUUACUGGGCGUAAAGCGUGCGUAGGUGGUCUUUUAAGUCCGUUGUGAAAGCCCUGGGCUCAACCUGGGAAUGGCAGUGGAUACUGGAAGGCUGGAGUACGGUAGAGGAGGGUGGAAUUCCCGGUGUAGCGGUGAAAUGCGUAGAGAUCGGGAGGAACACCAAUGGCGAAGGCAGCUCGCUGGGACGGUACUGACGCUGAGACGCGAAAGCGUGGGGAGCAAACAGG
rnacentral:rRNA from 1 species